UACUGCCCCAUCCUAGGCCCUGUCCCAAACAAAAUUUCAUAUGGAGUCAGUUUGUGUGGAGGCCUAGGGGUGUGUCUAACUGAAAAUAGUGCUAUUGGCAGGCAUUGUACCCAACUGAGCCCUGUCUCCCUAGUCAUUUUCAGCAUCUUGGACUUCAGUACCCCGUUCAGUCGUUUGACUUUCUCGCUGCUUUGGGGUCUGUAGGGUGUGCGAUAGGCUAAGUGUGACCCUACCAUCUUCCAGACUUCUUGGGUUAAGCUAGCAGUGAAUGCUGGGCCCUGAUCACUCUCAAUGACCUCAGGUACUCCGAACCUACAAACAAGCUCCAGAAUCAGUUUUUU